rnacentral:rRNA from 1 species
UGGGUAAUCUUGUGAAACUUCAUCGUGAUGGGGAUAGAGCAUUGCAAUUAUUGCUCUUCAACGAGGAAUCCCUAGUAAGCACAAGUCAUCAGCUUGUGUUGAUUACGUCCCUGCCCUUUGUACACACCGCCCGUCGCUACUACCGAUUGAAUGGCUUAGUGAGACCCUCGGAUUGGUAUUCAGAAGCUUUAACUGGCAUCUGUUUGCUAAGAAGUUGGUCAAACUUGGUCAUUUAGAGGAAGUAAAAGUCGUAACAAGGUUUCCGUAGAUGAACCUGUAGAAGGAUCAUU